CCGAGUUUACAACUCCCAAACCCCAAUGUGAACGUUACCAAACUGUUGCCUCGGCGGGAUUUCAGCCCCGGGCGCGUCGCAGCCCCGGACCAAGGCGCCCGCCGGAGGACCAAUCUACAAACUCUCUCGAAUAUCCCGUCGCGGAUUUUUCUUUACAAUUCUGAGCUUUCUCGGCGCUCCUAGCGAGCGUUUCGAAAAUGAAUCA
rnacentral:misc_RNA from 1 species